rnacentral:rRNA from 1 species
UUUUUUAAUUGAAAACUUGUAUGAAGGGUUUGACGAAAUAUUAACUGUUUCAUAAAAAUUUAUAUAGAAAUUAAUUUUUUAGUUAAAAAGCUAAAAUAAGUUUAAGGGACGAGAAGACCCUAUAGAGUUUAAUAUUUAUUUAAUUUUAAUUUAUUUAUAAUUAUAAAAAUUUAAUUUAAUAAAAUAUUUUGUUGGGGUGACAGUAAAAAUUUUUAUCUUUUAUUAUUAUUUAUCAAUGAUUUUUGAAUUAUUGAUCCAUUUUUAUUGAUUAAAAGAUUAAAUUACCUUAGGGAUAACAGCGUAAUUUUUUUGUAGAGUUCUUAUUAAUAAAAAAUUUUGC